GACCGCUCCGGUAGCCUAUUGGUUAGAGCGUCCGCCUCGGAUGAGGGAGGUUGCGGGUUCGAAUCCCGGUUGAGUUA